UAUGCCUUAAAUAAAUUUAACAUGUUCAUGAUUUCGCAUGUUAUGAGAGAUCUUUUAUUCGAGGCUAAAAAAAUGUUGAUCAGUGAUUAAACAAGUUAAGCAUUUUUGCAAGUUGCCGACUUACCUGACACUGAGACAACGGAAACGCAUAA
rnacentral:snoRNA from 1 species